CCUACGGGAGGCAGCAGUGAGGAAUAUUGGUCAAUGGACGAGAGUCUGAACCAGCCAAGUAGCGUGAAGGAUGACUGCCCUAUGGGUUGUAAACUUCUUUUAUAUGGGAAUAAAAUGUUCCACGUGUGGGAUUUUGUAUGUACCAUAUGAACAAGGAUCGGCUAACUCCGUGCCAGCAGCCGCGGUAAUACGGAGGAUCCGAGCGUUAUCCGGAUUUAUUGGGUUUAAGGGGAGCGUAGGUGGAUUGUUAAGUCAGUUGUGAAAGUUUGCGGCUCAACCGUAAAAUUGCAGUUGAAACUGGCAGUCUUGAGUACAGUAGAGGUGGGCGGAAUUCGUGGUGUAGCGGUGAAAUGCUUAGAUAUCACGAAGAACUCCGAUUGCGAAGGCAGUUCACUGGACUGCAACUGACACUGAGGCUCGAAAGUGUGGGUAUCAAACAGGAUUAGAUACCCUUGUAGUC
rnacentral:rRNA from 1 species